GAAAUGCGAUACUUGGUGUGAAUUGCAGAAUCCCGUGAACCAUCGAGUCUUUGAACGCAAGUUGCGCCCGAAGCCAUUAGGCCGAGGGCACGCCUGACCUGGGGUCGCAACGGUUUGUUUCCAAUUGGGAACAACUCAGGGUCCUACGAGCCCACAAUUGCCAUGUACUGCACGACACGAGAUUGCAUUCGAGGCCAAGGCCUUGUCCACCACCAAUUGCCGCACAGUGCAUAACCUGAGGCUCCUUUUUUAGGCCAGCCACGCCCGGUGAGGCGCGGGAAGCCAUCCU
rnacentral:misc_RNA from 1 species